UAUCUGGUUGAUCCUGCCAGUAGUCAUAUGCUUGUCUCAAAGAUUAAGCCAUGCAUGUCUAAGUACAAACCUUAAUACGGUGAAACCGCGAAUGGCUCAUUAAAUCAGCUAUGGUUCCUUAGAUCGUCUCAUCCUACUCGGAUAACUGUGGAAAAUCUAGAGCUAAUACGUGCUUACAAGCCCUGACCUCACGGGAGGGGCGCAUUUAUUAGAUCAAAACCAAUCGGGGCUUGCCCCGUCUGCUUGGUGACUCUGGAUAACUUUUGUGCUGAUCGCAUGGCCUCUGCGCUGGCGACGUAUCUUUCAAGUGUCUGCCCUAUCAACUUACGAUGGUAGGUGAUAUGCCUACCAUGGUUAUAACGGGUAACGGGGAAUCAGGGUUCGAUUCCGGAGAGGGAGCCUGAGAAACGGCUACCACAUCUAAGGAAGGCAGCAGGCGCGCAAAUUACCCACUCCCGGCACGGGGAGGUAGUGACGAAAAAUAACGAUACGGGACUCUUUUGAGGCCCCGUAAUUGGAAUGAGUACACUUUAAAUCCGUUAACAAGUAUCUAUUGGAGGGCAAGUCUGGUGCCAGCAGCCGCGGUAAUUCCAGCUCCAAUAGCGUAUAUUAAUGUUGCUGCAGUUAAAAAGCUCGUAGUUGGAUCUGAGGACUCGAAUUGGUGGUGCACCAUACGGGUGUUACUGCCGAUUCGGCCUACCUAGUCGGUGCUCGCUCUUGGUGUUCUUAAUUGAAUGCCCUGAGUGCCCGGCAAGUUUACUUUGAAAAAAUUAGAGUGCUCAAAGCAGGCCAUUAGCCGGAAUACUUCAGCAUGGAAUAAUGGAAUAGGACUUCGGUUCUAUUUUGUUGGUUUUCGGAACCCGAGGUAAUGAUUAAGAGAGACAGACGGGGGCAUUCGUACUGCGGUGUUAGAGGUGAAAUUCUUGGAUCGCCGCAAGACGAACAACUGCGAAAGCAUUUGCCAAGAAUGUUUUCAUUAAUCAAGAACGAAAGUCAGAGGUUCGAAGACGAUCAGAUACCGUCCUAGUUCUGACCAUAAACGAUGCCAACUGGCGAUCCGAGAUCGUUUGCUUAUUGACCUCUCGGGCAGCCUCCGGGAAACCAAAGUUUUUAGGUUCCGGGGGAAGUAUGGUUGCAAAGCUGGGUUCAAUUGAUUGUACACCAAGUGGUCGGUUACUUCCUGGCCCGGAGUUGGUGUUGUGCUCUUUCCUUACCCACCCGAAGGCGGGGCUGGAAGUGCCCAAGCCAAAUGGGUCCUCUGUCCAUCCUGGUAACUGCACUCCUCGCUUGGGAGGAGCGAGGAUAAUAUAAACCCGAUUGGAGUCAGGUGACGGCUGUAAGUCAUAAAUUAGUUCCCCACGAGGGGAGGUUAAUUGAAGCCUCGUGCCCUUACUAGUUUAAGGGAUUGUAUACUUCCUUUGGUGUACCCACCUGACGCCUAUCCCUGCACUCCAUCCCCGAUUGGAGUCAGGUGACGGCUCCUUACCCCGGCGGCCGGACCCCGGAGGGGUCUGGGCCCCGAAGCCUGACGGCGUCGGGGUGCAGGAAGCCUCUAGGCGACCAGCCCAGCCGUGCAGAAAUGCAGUAGGCCUUUAUCUGGCUAUUAACGGUAAACUCACCGGGCCAGUGUCUGACCGAGGUUUUUGUGGCACCUAACUAGGCAAGAGGGUGGACCAGGCAGGGGCGGUUGUAUCCGAAAGGUCGCCGUCUCCCUCCGUUUUGCCUGGCUCCGCAAGGGGCGUGUCUACGUCUCCUGCUGUGGGACUCGCCGUCUCCUGUUCUCAGUUGACGGGCCAGCAGCCUAACGGCGGCUGGUUGUGGCGACCUACCGGAAGCUACACGAGAGCGGGCCUAAAGGCCCGCCCCGCAGUUGGGGGGCGGAGACCGCCGCCCCCAAACCCCCCACGGUACACUAAAGGAAUUGACGGAAGGGCACCACCAGGAGUGGAGCCUGCGGCUUAAUUUGACUCACAAACACGGGCGGACACUGUUAGGAUUGACAGAUUGAGAGCUCUUUCUUGAUUCGGUGGGUGGGUGGUGGUGCAUGGCCGUUCUUAGCCCGGACACUGAGCGAUUUAGGAUUGACAGAUUGAGAGCUCUUUCUUGAUUCGGUGGGUGGUGGUGCAUGGCCGUUCUUAGUUGGUGGAGCGAUUUGUCUGGUUAAUUCCGAUAACGAACGAGACUCUAGCCUGCUAAAUAGUACGCCGAUACCUUUUCGUCGGUGCUGACUUCUUAGAGGGACAAGCGUCUUGAAGACGCACGAGAUUGAGCAAUAACAGGUCUGUGAUGCCCUUAGAUGUUCGGGGCCGCACGCGCGCUACACUGAAGGGGACAGCGAGUUUUUCCUGGUUCGAAAGAACCGGGUAAUCUGUUGAAUUCCCUUCGUGACAGGGAUCGGGGCUUGCAAUUAUUCCCCGUGAACGAGGAAUUCCCAGUAAGCGCAAGUCAUCAGCUUGCGUUGAUUACGUCCCUGCCCUUUGUACACACCGCCCGUCGCUACUACCGAUUGAAUGGUUUAGCAAGGUCCUCGGAUUGGUGCCGACUUGGUGGCAACACUAGGUCGGAUACUGAAAAGAAGAUCAAACUUGAUCAUUUAGAGGAAGUAAAAGUCGUAACAAGGUUUCCGUAGGUGAACCUGCGGAAGGAUCAUUA
rfam:Macrostomum lignano uti_cns_0046977, whole genome shotgun sequence.